GACGUAGGGCGCGAGCGUUGUCCGGAUUUAUUGGGCGUAAAGAGCUCGUAGGCGGCUUGUCGCGUCGAAUGUGAAAACUCGGGGCUCAACUCCGAGCUUGCAUUCGAUACGGGCAGGCUAGAGUUCGGUAGGGGAGACUGGAAUUCCUGGUGUAGCGGUGAAAUGCGCAGAUAUCAGGAGGAACACCGGUGGCGAAGGCGGGUCUCUGGGGCCGAUACUGACGCUGAGGAGCGAAAAGCGUGGGGGAGCGAACAGG
rnacentral:rRNA from 1 species